GGGGAUUUAGCUUAGUGGCAUAAGCGCCCACCUGGCAAGUGCAAGGUCGCGAGUUCAAUCCCCA
rnacentral:tRNA from 1 species